rnacentral:misc_RNA from 1 species
UGUAGGAGCGAGCCUGCUCGCGAAGGAGUGUCAGCCACGUUGAUGUUGACUGACACACCAUCGCGAGCAGGCUCGCUCCUACA